GUUUUCAAGGCAAAAGAAGUCAUGUGACCAUUACCCUAGGGGCAUCAGAGACUUGGGGCACGUGAUGCCAAUCAGCAAGUGUGGGACUUCGGCCACUUCGCUGGAAUUCACUGUAAACCGCAUCUCCAGGAUCAAGUUGAGGCUCCCAAACACAGUGUGACAUCAGUCAAGUGGCGGAUGGUGUGCAGAUCCGGUGAGGAGCAAGAAGCAGCGCGUCGCGCAAGUGUCCGAGAGCAUUCACCCCACGCCACCUCCCAGCCUGGGAUCCUCUGCUGUCCUGGAGCCGGGCCGUUGGAGCCGCCAGCGCGGUACGAGCGGUAGCAGCGGUGGCGGCAACUUUGGGACUGGCAAGAAGCCAGGGCGGGGGUGGUCAGCGUCCCCCCGCCUCUUAUUAGAGCGCUUAAGUACUGCGGGUGGAGGAAAGUCAGCAGCGGCAAGUGCAGCUGGGGGGCGGGGGAGGGGAGAUCACCCCCCCAUCCCACUGCCCCUGCCGCUCUGCCUCCCCCGGGAGCCCCGAGAGGUCCCGCGCUGCCGCGACCGCGCGCUCGCGGCUGCAGAGCCAGAGGAGCCGAGCAGGGCGCGGACCGAGGGGUCCGGGGAGAUGGGGAACCGAAAGGUUCUGCCCCAGUGGCCCGGCGAUGUUGAGCUACCGAAAGGGAAAAAGUGCUUACUCAUAGGGAGACGCGGUGCGAUCGCGGCGCUCUCGCUAAUGGCCAGGGAAGCAAACGGGAGGCAGGCAGCUCCCGGAGCCCGGUUCCUUCCCUGGGCCAAGGCAGCCGCUCAGAGCCCCGGAACUGGCGUGAGCCCGCGAGGUCACCCGAGGCGGGCGAGCGGGGGCCGGAGGCAGCCUCCGGGAUUUCCUGAGUCCGGGGCGGGAGGGGGCGGGGGGCCGGGGGGUGGCAGUAGCUGGGGAAGAACGACAGAGGGAAGUUCGGCGCUCGGUUUCCACUUCGCGGCCGCCGCUACGGAAGGGGAGAAGGACAAGGUUGGCGUCAAGGACUGCAGCCCCAGACAUUUCAUGGAAGCGGAAUCCUACAACAUGUGACCUUUUGUGUCUGGCUUUUUCACUGAACAAUGUUAUCAAGUUCAUCCGUGUUGUAGCAGGCAACGAGAACGGAGCCAGCUACCUGCUUGGAUGGAGGGAAGAGGAAGGGGAGAAAAAACUGAGAACAAGUUGAAGCCUCAAAAUAUUAUCCAUUCACCUUAUUCAUUACAACCAAUAAAUUGCUUUUCUAUGAAGUUUUCCCAGUACUUGACACACUUGGCUUUGGAGUACAGAAAGAACUGUGGUAUGGUGUCUUUCAUAAAAGCCAAGUCCUUAAAAGCCUCCCAGUGUUCUCAUGUGGGGCCACGGUGCUGAACAAAGGGAUGCUCUUGUGAGAGUUUUGACUUCUCUUCAAAAAAAAAAAAAAAAAAAGAUUUUAUUUAUUUAUUUGAGAGAGAGAGAACACAAACGGAGAGGGAGGCGCAGAGGGAGAGGGGAAGCAGACUGCCCACUGAGCAGGGAGCCUGACACAGGGCUUGAUCCCAGGACUCUGGGAUCAUGACCCAAGCUAAAGGCAGACGCUUCACUGACUGAAUCACCCAGGCACUCCUUGACUUCUCUUUCUCAGCAUAGAACAGCCUCCUGGAAGCUGUCUUUGCUUGCCAAUCUCAGCAGCUAGGCUGUCCUCCCUCUGGGCUCUCCUCUCUCUGGGCUCUCCUCAAGCUCCCCCUUCCUAUUGCUCCCUCCUGGCAAUUCCGCAGCUCUAGGGAGCAACCAGCUCUCCCCUCGAGGUCUGCCGUGUACUAAGGACCAUGUCAACAUGAGCUAUGGAAUCAAUCAUUUUCAGAUGGAUUUGGGGUUUUCUAAUUGAUACUGAUUACAGAACAGUUGAUUGGGCCACAACAAAGUACAUAAUUUUCAGACAUAAGACCACCAAAAUGGCCAGACAUGCUGUACUGGAAGAAAUAUAGCUCAGAAACUGAGACUCAGGGAAGUUAAAGGGCUGGUCUAGGUUCAAACAGCAAGUUCAUGAACGCGAUUAAAAGCCACCCCUGGGGCGCCUGGGUGGCUCAGUCAUUAAGCAUCUGCCUUCGGCUCAGGUCAUGUUCCCAGGGUCCUGGGAUCGAGCCCCGCAUCGGGCUCCCUGCUCCGCGGGAAGCCUGCUUCUCCCUCUCCCGCUCCCCCUGCUUGUGUUCCCUCUCUGG